rnacentral:sRNA from 1 species
UGUAUAGAAAUGUGUAAAGAAACCAAGAAGCUAGCAAUAAGUGAUAGAAAACAUGGACAAUUUUACUUUGGAUCUAAAACAUGUAAUUAAAAAGGAAAUGGAGGAAGACAUUUUGUCAGCCCCAACAUCUGAAGAAGAAUCUCCUAAGUUGUCUUGCAUGUCACACUGCGAGCCAAACUGUUCUCUUGAUCAGAGAAAUGGGAUGAAAAGAAAAUGUAAUGGCACAGAAGUUCCAGGAGAAGAAACAUACAAGAAGUUGAAUUCAUUGUCAGACUUGAAACGGGACGUUAGUUAUGAAAUGAGAGAAACAUCAAAUCUUAAUCAUUUCCAGGGUCACAAGUUCCAUCUGGAUAAAAGAAAGAAUAAACUGACUGUGUAACUGUUUUGAGAAAUCUGUUUUCAACUCUAUUUAAAGAUUGAUGACAUAAUGAAGGCUCCACCAUUCUUUAGACAUUAAAAAAAAAUCUCUUCUCUGCCCUCACCUGGCUUGGAGAAGAAUGUAAUGCGGCAGCAGCUGGCCUUUAAAAUAGACAGCGCAGAACACAGGGAAAUGAUACUGCCAAAAUACCCUGACAGACAACAAAGAUCUUACAUGAAGACCAUGCGUUGUUUUGUUUUUAAUGUUACAACUGAUUGGUCACUUAAGUGAUUAUGAGGGGUCUGAAAUGUGUGUUGGGGUUUCAUUUACAGACAGGUCUAUAAAAAGAGACAAAAGAAUAUUAUCUUUAGAUUACUUCUAGAAAGUACUGGAUGUGAGCAUUAGAAUGUUGUGACUAGAGGCUGAGUGAAAAGAAACAGCAAUACUACCUAACUGAGAAACCUCGAAUCCUGAUACAGACUAGGAAUUCAGAAUUCAGUAUUUAGCUUCAACCUGUUAAAGGAACAUGGAAACUUUCUCCUUGAUUAUACAACCUAUCCAGUAAAAGCAUUCUGGUCAUAACAAAAGCGCAAUACACAACCAAAUAUUAUUACUUUUAAGGUUCCAUUAUCUUUUUAUUCAAUUUUUUUUUCAGAUGCAGUUUAAAAAACUUAAAGAAAAAACUUUUUUCAAAGAAAAACAAAAACAAGAUAAAGAAAAUAAAUGUCAAACAUGUCUGAAAGUAUUUCCGACAUCUUCAAAAUUAAAAAUACAUCAGAUGGUCCAUAAAGAAGAAAAACCAUUUAAGUGCCAACUAUGUCUAAAAGCAUUUUCAACAUCUUCAAAUGUAAAGAAACAUCAGCUAGUCCAUACAGGUGAAAAACCAUUUCAAUGUAAAAUAUGUUUAAAAGCUUUUUCUUAUUCAUCAAGUUUAAAACAACAUCAAGUGCUC